CCUGAACAGCCUCCAGGUGCAGAAUCAUCACUGCUUCGUUUCUGUUCCCAGGCACUUUAUACAGACCAGCACCGUGGCACUUUCAGGGCACACAGGAAUGACUCUGUCAAGACUCUCUCAGUUUCAACUGAAGGAAGACUAAUCCUUUUGGCUGAAACCAAAAGGGAACUUACUGUCUCAUUUCACUAAAAUGGCUAGCUUUCAGGUGCAGCUGGAUCAAGGGGUCCUGAUUCUUUAUGACUCAAUUCGUCUCUGAGGUCAUUUCCUGGAUGUUGAUUCCGUUCUGAGACAAGUUCUCCCAUUGUGGCCACGAGAUAGCUGCUGUGGCUGCAGACAGCACAUCCUCUCUGCUCCAACUCGGGAGCCUCUGCCCCGUGUCCCAUCGAAAAGUGUCAUGGGUUCUCAUUGGUUCUGACUGGGGCACAUACCCACCUGGGUCACUUCAUAUGGCCUGGGGAAUCCAGUGGACUGGCUUAGGACAGGGUCAUGUGCUCCCCUGGGGAGGGAGAUUGAGAGUGGAGCAGGGGUGACAUCCCCACAAGAAUCAGGAUGCAGUUUGCAGGAGAAGAGAAAAUCAGUGCUGGAAAGCCAAAAAAAAGCAACAAGGCAACAUUACUACUGUUCAUAACAACAGUUGUAAGUCACUCUCAGCCUCACACUUGCUGGGUCCUGUGUAUCCCCACCCCACUGGGCUUGAGACCUUCGACAGCGAAGAGGAGUUCUGCUCUGCCAACAGAAAAACCGGAGGCAGCAGGGGAGGGAGGAGCUGGCUGUUCCUCCUCAACCCAAGUCGGCUGCGCCCUGCGCAGGGAGGUUGGCACCUGCGGGCCCGGGGUCUCCGCGGGGAAGCUGGCCCAGGCGCCUGCUCCGGGCAGCUGUGGCCGUAACUCUCCGCCUCAGUCAGCUCGGCUGCUGUGACAGAAUCCCACAGACGGGCGGCUCAGACAUCAGCCGUUCACUCCUCACAGCCCCGGAGGCUGCGGGUCCAGGACCAAGGUGGCCGCCCGCUCCUUGCCUGGUGAGAACCCACUUCCUUGCUGCAUCCUCACUGCAUGUGGGGAGAGAGCAGGCUCCCUGGUGUCUCUUCUUACCGGGACGCUGAGUCCAUCCUGAAUGACGUCCUCGGAGGCCCAUCUCCACAGACAGCCACCCCGGUUCCUUUCCUCUCUGACUGUAGAGCUGGUGAGACGGGAGUUCAGGUUUUCCGGAGGAAGUCCGACUGCAGGAGGAGAGGACGCGGUGCUGCACCGAGACCCGGAGACCAGAGGCAGGCAGAGAUGGACGUGGGGUCCUCUGAGCAACGGUGGCCCCGAGCAGCUCCACCCUGUCUGAGCUUUGGCUACCCGAUGCCAUAAAUUCCCAAUUUUGAGAAGCUUGCUUGGUUUGGUUUUCUACAACUGCGACUGAAACAAUCAUGUUACUAAUGGGCCC
rnacentral:lncRNA from 1 species